AGAGGUUUAGACAUAGACUUAAGAAGUGAAAAGGAGAGAGGAGAGAAUAAUGAGCAUGCACGAAUCGUCCUUAGGUUCCUUUUUUAAAAAUUUUCCCGUUUCCAGAGGCUUUAUUGGUACUCGAAGGUUAUGACUGACAAAUAUGUCAUCGUUAGCCUUCAGUUUUCGUGAUAAACCUGCGGUGCAGGUUAUUCAACAGGGAACUUCUUGUUUUCUAUCUAGUACAUAAAUCUUUUGCGUUGUGUUCUGAAAAGUUUGUCUCAGUGGGGAUCCUGUAGUAGAGCGUGUGGGGGAUGGAGUCAGUAAAGAAAAGGGAGGGAAAGGAGAAGGAGAAAAAAGAUACAACAAAUUGGUGAUGAAGCGGGAUGGCUUGUUUUGCAAUGAAUCCACGGAUGCCUUUUCUUCAGAGCCCAGGUUAGCCACCAGUUGCGUUACCUGUCUGGAUUCAGAUGUUUGAGAACUAUCUAUUGGCAAUAAAGAAUGAAGAGAUUCCUGAAGCAAGAAAAUGUGCUUUACUCCUCCACUGCUUGGGGACAGAAGGUCAACGUAUAUUUUAUACCUUACCACUUGCAGAUGAUAAAUAUGAGACUGAACUUUCAGCUUUAAAGAACUUUUUUGUGCCUUGAGUAAAUGUAGUAGCUAAUUGUUAUAAAUUUCGGCAGUGGGAACAGAGAAGUGGAGAAUCUAUACUACAAUAUAUUACUGCUUUAAGAGAUUUGGUGGGGUCCUGUAAUUUUGGAGUAAUGGCAGAUGAAAUGAUUAGAGACCAGCUGAUUGAGAAAACAUCUGUGCUAUGUAUUCGAGAAUGUUUGCUGCUAGAGAUAGAUUUGACUUUUGAAAAAGCCAUAGUGAUUGCAACACAAUUGGAGACAGCUGUGGUAGAAGCUAAAACCAUGAACUUGGAUAAAGGAAAUGCAGGGGUGUAUCUAGGGUGGGGCAGGCAGGGCACGUGCCCCAGGCGCCACUUGAAGGGGGGCGCAAUUUCUUAAUUUUUUUUUUAAAAUGGCCACCAAAAACAAAAUGGCCACUGGGCAUGCUCAAAUGGCCUCUGAGGCCCUAGGGCAUGCCACGCCUCACAGAGACAAUUUGAGCAUGCACAGUGGCCAUUUUGUUUUCAGCAGCCAUUUUUUAAAAACAAAAAUAUUUUUUAAAAUGACUACCGCACAUGCUCAAAUGGUGCCUGUGAGGCCCUAGAGGCCAGUGGGAGGAGGGGGAAACUUUGCAGACCCCCCAAAGCCUUUAAGAAGUCCCCCAAAGGGGCUACAGGUAAUUUUUUUUUUAAAAAAAUUAUAAUAUAAGUCACUGUACACAUAUUCAGAUUGGCACUAUGUACAGAGAAUCAGGGCUUGUGAAUACUGAGCUGAAGUUUAUGAGCUAAGAUUGUAUCCAUUUGCUCUUACUUUGCUUCUUGUGAUAAGUGAGUUAAAUGUGAUGUCUUAAUAAUAUGGCUAUUAAUGGUGAGUUUGUCUUUGAAUCAAUGUGAAAUCCUUAGUAUUAAGGCCCACUGGGAGUUUCUUGCUCUUUCUCUCAUUUUAACUGUCUUUCUGAAAUACUAGAAUAUAUUCCAAGCAGUGACACUGUUUACUCUGCAUAUUGUUUAAUUAUUUUCAGAGUAUCUGGGAAAAGUCAAAUUCACCAUUUAUUUUUAAAAUUUAUGUAAUCGUGAUGCUACGAGAAUUAGACAGGCACUUCUAUUUAGUUUUUCCAAGUACACCUCUGCAUAAUAUUUGGGUAUUUCAUGAGCCCCAGCACACUGAAAUUUGUAGUUUUCCAGCCUUUUUUGGUCUGGCUACGUCCACUGCUAAAUAGUUUUUGAAAUAUUAAAAGAUUAACAAGC